GAUGAAGAACGCAGCGAAAUGCGAUAAGUAGUGUGAAUUGCAGAAUUCAGUGAAUCAUCGAAUCUUUGAACGCACAUUGCGCCCUUUGGUAUUCCUUAGGGCAUGCCUGUUCGAGCGUCAUUUGUACCUUCAAGCUCUGCUUGGUGUUGGGUGUUUGUCUCGCCUCUGCGUGUAGACUCGCCUCAAAACAAUUGGCAGCCGGCGUAUUGAUUUCGGAGCGCAGUACAUCUCGCGCUUUGCACUCAUAACGACGACGUCCAAAAGUACAUUUUUACACUCUUGACCUCGGAUCAGGUAGGGAUACCCGCUGAACUUAAGCAUAUCAAUAAGCGGAGGA
rnacentral:misc_RNA from 1 species